GACAUAGGAGGCGAGCGUUAUCCGGAUUUACUGGGCGUAAAGUGCGUUGAGGCGGCUUUGUAAGUUGGGCGUGAAAGCUCCUGGCUCAACUGGGAGAGGUCGUUCAAUACUGCAAGGCUUGAGGACAGCAGAGGGGGGUGGAAUUCCCGGUGUAGUGGUGAAAUGCGUAGAUAUCGGGAGGAACACCAGUGGCGAAGGCGGCCCCCUGGGCUGCUCCUGACGCUGAAGGCGAAAGCUAGGGGAGCAAACGGG
rnacentral:rRNA from 1 species